rnacentral:rRNA from 1 species
UUAAGCAUAUAAUUAAGCGGAGGAAAAGAAACUAACCAGGAUUCCCUCAGUAAGGGCGACUGAAGCGGGAAGUGCUCAGGAUGUGAAUCUGCGCUGUAAUAAGCGCCGAAUUGUGGUCUGUCGACGGUGGCAUUACUAGCCGGGCCAAGUCCCUUGGAACAGGGCAGCUGAGAGGGUGAGACUCCCGUACGCCUGGCUGGGUGAGCUACUUGUCAACGAGUCGAGUUGUUUGGGAUUGCAGCUCAAAGCGGGUGGUAAAUUCCAUCUAAAGCUAAAUAUUGGUGGGAGACCGAUAGCGUACAAGUACCGUGAGGGAAAGAUGCAAAGAACUUUGAAAAGAGAGUUAAAGAGUACCUGAAAUUGCUGAAAGGGAAGCGAAGGAAACCAGUGUCGGCUUGGUCAUAUUUCCCUGUCCGCUUGCGGAUUGGGCGCUGUGUCCUGCCUCUGUUGUUCUUGGUUGGUUCUGGUGGAAGAGCGCCGUGAGAGUUGAUCUCGGUUGCUAGCAUCGGAUCUGACUGAGUAGGACGAAAUGGUUUUCUUUACCCCGUCUAGAAACACGGACCAAGGAGUCUAACAUAUGUGCGAGUACAGAGGUGGCAAACCUCCGUGCGCAAUGAAAGUGACAGUGGUUGGACUUUUGCACAAUCCGCCGGCCUCAAUCCCUCGGGAGAACGGUCUGAGUGUGAGCAUACAUGUUGGGACCCGAAAGAUGGUGAACUAUGCCUGAAUAGGGUGAAGCCAGGGGAAACUCUGGUGGAGGCUCGUAGCGAUUCUGACGUGCAAAUCGAUCGUCAAAUUUGGGUAUAGGGGCGAAAGACUAAUCGAACCAUCUAGUAGCUG